GAUUUCACAGGAUUUCCAUCCCACAGCCCAAGCACAUCCCCCCACACCCCAAACUGUCUCCUCUGGAGACUGUAAGUUUUUCAUUGUCUGUGAGUCAGCAUCUGUUCUGCAAAGAAGUUCCGUCUGUCCUUUUUUCAGAUUCCACAUGUCAGUGAAAGCAUUUGAUGUUGGUGUCUCAUUGUAUGGCUGACUUCACUUAGCAUGAUAGUUUCUAGGUCCAUCCAUGUUGCUAAAAAUGCUGGUAUUUCAUUCUUUUUGAUGGCUGAGUAAUAUUCCACUGUAUAUAUGUACCACCUCUUCUUGAUCCACUCCUCUGUCGAUGGACAUUUAGGUUGUUUCCAUGUCUUGGCUAUUGUAAAUAGUGCUGCAAUGAACAUUGGAGUACAUGUGUCUUUGUGAGUCAUGGUUUUUCUCUGGAUAGAUGCCCAGGAGUGGGAUUGCUGGAUCAAAUGGUAGUUCUAUGUUUAGUUUUCUGAAGAAUCUCCAUACUGCUUUCCACAGUGGUUGCACCAAUUUACAAUCCCACCCACAGUGUCAUAGGGUUCCUUUUUCUCCCCACCCUCUCCAGCACUUAUUGUUUGUAGAUUUUUGGAUGAUGGCCAUUCUGGCUGGGGUUUAUCAAUUUUGUUGAUCUUUUCAAAGAACCAGCUUUUCGUUUCAUUGAUCUUUUCUAUGGUUUUCUUUGUUUUUAUUUCAUUGAUUUCUGCUCUGAUCGUUAUGAUUUCUUUCCUUCUACUAACUUUAGGUCUUGUCUGUUCUUCUCUCUCGAGCUGCUUUAGAUGUAAAGUUAGCUUGUUUAUUUGGGCUUUUUCUUGUUUCCUGAGGUGGGCUUGUAUUGCUAUAAACUUUCCUCUUAGAAUGGCUUUUGCUGUAUCCCAUAGGUUUUGGAGUGUCGUAUCUUCGUUGUCAUUUGCUGCUAGGUAUUUUUUAAUUUCCUCUUUGAUUUCUUUAGUGAUCCAUUGGUUGUUAGUAGCAUGUUGUUGAGUCUCCACGUGUUUGUGAAGUUUUUGCAGUUUUUUUCUUGUUGAUUUCCAGUCGUAUAGCAUUGUGGUCGGAAAAGAUGCUUGAUAUGAUUUCAAUUUCCUUAAAGUUACUGAGAUUGGAUUUGUAACCCAGGAUAUGGUCAAUCUUAGAGAAUGUUCCAUGUGCACUUGAUAAGAAUGUGUAUUCUGUUGCUUUUGGAUGGAAUGUCCUAUAAAUAUCUAUUAAGUCCAUCUGGUUUAAUGCUUCAUUCAGGGCCUGUGUUUCCUUAUUGAUUUUCUGUCUGGUUGAUCUGUCCAUUGCUGUAAGUGGGGUGUUAGUGUCCCCCACUAUGAUUGUGUUAAUGUCGAUUUCUCCUUUUACGGUUGUUAGCAGUUGCCUUAUAUAUUGUGGUGAACCUGUGUUGGGUGCGUAGAUAUUUAAAAUUGUUAUAACAUCUUCUUGGAUUGAUCCUUUGAUCAUUAUGUAACGUCCUUCUUUGUCCCUUAAAAUAGUCUUCAUUUUAAAGUCUAUUUUGUCUGAUAUGAGUAUUGCUACUCCAGCUUUCUUUUGAUCCCCAUUUGCAUGAAAUAUUUUCUUCCAUCCUCUCACUUUCAAUUUGUAUGUGUCCCUAGAAGUGAAGUGGGUCUCUUGAAGACAGCAUAUAUAUGGGUCUUUUUUUCUAUCCAUUCAACCAGUCUAUGUCUUUUGGCUGGGGCAUUUAGUCCAUUCACAUUUAAGGUAAUUAUUGAUAUGUAUGUUCUUACUGCCAUUUUAUUAAUUACUUUGGAUUUGGUUUUGCUGCUCUUUUUCCUUUCCUUCUUCUCUUGUUCUUUUCUGCCUAGAGAAGUUCCUUUAGUAUUUGUUGUAAGGCUGGCUUAGUGUUGCUGAAUUCUCUCAGCUUUUGCUUAUCUGAGAAGGUUUUGAUUUCUCGUUCAAAUCUGAACGAGAGCCUUGAUGGGUAGAGUAAUCUUGCUUGGAGGUUUUUUCCUUUCAUCAUGUUAAGUAUAUCAUGCCACUCCCUUCUGGCCUGCAGAGUUUCUGUUGAAAAAUCUGCCGAUAGCCUUAUUGGGGUUCCCUUGUAUGUUACUUGUUUCUUUUCCCCAGCUGCUUUCAAGAUUUUCUCUUUGUCUUUAAUCUCAGUCAGUUUGAUUAAUAUGUGUCUCGGGGUGUUCCUCCUUGGGUUUAUUUUGUAUUGUACUCAUUGUGCUUCCUGGAUUUGAGUGAGUGAUUCCUUCCCCAUGAUAGGGAAGUUUUCGGCUACUAUCUCUUGGAAUAUUUUUUCCGUCCCCUUCUCUCUCUCUUCUCCUUCUGGCACCCCUAUAAUACGGAUGUUGGUGUGUUUCACCUUGUCCCAGAGUUCUCUGAGACUCUCUUCAUUUGUUUUCAAUCUUUUUUCUCUUUUCUGUUCUGCAUCCGUAAUUUCUUCUUAUCUGUCCUCCACCUCGCUUAUUUGUUCUUCUGCCUCCUGUAUUCUGCUCUUAGUUGCUUCUAGCGAAUUUUUUAUUUCAGUUAUUGUAUUUUGCAUCUCUUCUUGUUUAAGUUUUAUAUCUUGUAUCUCUUUGGUCAGUGUUUCCUGUAAGUUAUCCAUCUUUGCCUCCAGUUUAUUUCCAAUGUCUUGCAUCUUCUUCAGCAUCAAUAGUCUAAAGUCUUUUUCCUGGAGGCUGAGAAUCUCCUCAUGGCUUAGCUGUUUUUCUGAGUUUUUUUCUUUCUCCCUCAUCUGAGUUAUAGUUCUCUGUCUUUUCAUUUUUAUAGGUUUUUGGUGUGGUGACCUUUUUACAGAU
rnacentral:lncRNA from 1 species